AUGGACACCUGCGCUGCCUGUGGGCAGCUAUGUGGGGCAGGACGUGCACUUGGCACAUGCUCGGCACAUGGCAAGUGCUGGGUGGACCUGGUUCUCUUUCUUUUUCUUUCGUCCAAUUCAUGGUCAGUGGUUUGCUGUGAGCGUGAUUUAAGCCUGGGUAUUACCUGCCGUUUAAACAUACUCCUGACUGCCCUGUAUUCACACCCUUCUUACAGUCAGGUUAUACGGCGGCGAUCAACUGGUGAUUUUCCUGCAAAGCGUCAUCAAACCCGAGGAGCCUGCCAAGGCAGUGGCAGCCCUGCAAGCCUUCAGGGAUGUGUCCUGCAGAGGCUCCCUCUUGCUGGCCUCCUCCCUCUCCUCUCAGCCCACUGGGAACCAGAGUCUCCUCCGGACGCCAAGAGACAGGAAAGGGGUGCUCUGGGCCGCGGCCUCACCCGUGGUGAGUGUGUGACGAUCGGGGUGGCGGUGUCGCCGCGCUGGUGGCGGGAGGGAGGCUGGGCCCGUGGGAGAGGACCGCUGGGCUGAUGGGUUCCCGCGCCCUCGCGCUCCCAGCUGCCAGCCCAGGGGCAGGUAGGGCGCAGGCGGCGGUGAGUGGCAUCGAGAGCCUGCUGGAGAACCCGGUGCGCGCCGUGCUCUACCUCAAGGGUUCUGGGCCAUCCAUCGUGCAGAACCAGCAGAGCCUCGUCCACGUCCAGCGCCAGCGCCUCGACGAGCAGGAGCGGCGGCUGGACGAGCUGAGCGCUGAGAACCGCAGCCUCUGGGAGCACCAGCAGCUGCUGCAAGCCCACCCUUGUGUCCGCCAUCGUCGUUCCGGUACUGGCCUUCUGGGCCGCUGCUCUCGCCAUUACCACUGGCGGCCGGGAACCUCCAGGACCAGGGACAGCGCUCAGCCGCCGCGCCACACCCCGCGUCCGAGCAGAUGCCGCUUCAGCACCACGGACAGCUCCUGGCGCAGCCCAGCCUCCUGGCUGCCGGGCUCACACAGCCCAAUCGCCCCACCAGCUCCCGGGACACUUGGGGCCGCUACAUAC
rnacentral:lncRNA from 1 species